UAGGGAAUCUUCGGCAAUGGACGGAGGUCUGACCGAGCAACGCCGCGUGAGUGAAGAAGGUUUUCGGAUCGUAAAGCUCUGUUGUAAGAGAAGAACGAGUGUGAGAGUGGAAAGUUCACACUGUGACGGUAUCUUACCAGAAAGGGACGGCUAACUACGUGCCAGCAGCCGCGGUAAUACGUAGGUCCCGAGCGUUGUCCGGAUUUAUUGGGCGUAAAGCGAGCGCAGGCGGUUAGAUAAGUCUGAAGUUAAAGGCUGUGGCUUAACCAUAGUAGGCUUUGGAAACUGUUUAACUUGAGUGCAAGAGGGGAGAGUGGAAUUCCAUGUGUAGCGGUGAAAUGCGUAGAUAUAUGGAGGAACACCGGUGGCGAAAGCGGCUCUCUGGCUUAUAACUGACGCUGAGGCUCGAAAGCGUGGGGAGCAAACAGGAUUAGAUACCCUGGUAGUCCACGCUGCAAACGAUGAGUGCUAGGUGUUAGACCCUUUCCGGGGUUUAGUGCCGUAGCUAACGCAUUAAGCACUCCGCCUGGGGAGUACGACCGCAAGGUU
rnacentral:rRNA from 1 species